rnacentral:rRNA from 1 species
CAGUCGCCGCGGGAAUACCAGCAGCCCAAGUGGUGGUCGCGAUUAUUGGGCCUAAAGCGCUCGUAGCCGGGCCGGUAAGUCCCUUGUGAAAUCGGACGGCCUAACCGUUCGGCGUGCAAGGGAUACUGUCGGUCUUGAGGCCGGGAGACGUCCGAGGUACUCCGGGGGUAGCGGUGAAAUGUUCUGAUCCUCGGGGGACCACCGGUGGCGAAGGCGUUCGACGAGAACGGGCCUGACGGUGAGGGGCGAAGGCUAGGGGAGCAAACGGGAUUAGAGACCCCUGUAGUCCCUGUCUCUUAUU